UACGGAGGGUGCAAGCGUUAUCCGGAUUCACUGGGUUUAAAGGGUGCGUAGGAGGGCAGGUAAGUCAGUGGUGAAAUCUUCGAGCUUAACUCGGAAACUGCCGUUGAUACUAUCUGUCUUGAAUACCGUGGAGAUGAGCGGAAUAUGUCAUGUAGCGGUGAAAUGCUUAGAUAUGACAUAGAACACCAAUUGCGAAGGCAGCUCGUUACACGAAUAUUGACUCUGAGGCACGAAAGCGUGGGGAGCAAACAGG
rnacentral:rRNA from 1 species